rnacentral:lncRNA from 1 species
GGACAGUAGUGGCUUUCCCAGGGCAGCUGACAUGACUCCUCACCCCUCUCUGGCGAGGGCUCGGCGGGUACAGCCUGUGCACAGGUCAGGAGGUGGGCAUGUGUCUGAGGACAGGAGUCCUUUCCUUGAAGCAGAGAGAGGCUUCCCCACUCAGGGGGACACGGGAGGACCCUCACGGGGCCAGGGGAGGAGGGAGGAGGAGAGGCACCUACCCGGAGCUCCUGGUCCUUGGAGCGGCUCCAAUGGGAAGAUGAGAGGCCAGGCAAGAUUAAAGGGCAGAAGCGGUGCCUGAGGACAAAGCAGGGAUGGGGGGGAAAGGGGGGAUGGAACAAGAGGAACCUGAUGUCCCUGGAUGUGGGGAGAAGUGGGUAGGCCCAGAGGGAGUUCCAGAGGAGGUUCUAGGGGGUGGCCAGAGGGGACCCCAGGGAGGGGAGCCCGGAGGGGGCCCGUGAGGCUCUGGAACCCAUCUCCAAGGCAGGUGUCCAGGUGCCCAAGGCAAGGUAACCGGAGGUCCCACACCCUCAAAGCCCCCAAUGCCCAUCCACUGAUCAUGAUCCUUAGCAAGAAGGGUCUUUCUAGAAAUGCCAUUCUCUCCCCAGUGCAUCUGGUUUAAUCGUGGGGCUGUGGGUGGGUCGUUUCAGGAAGGUGGUUGGUGGCACCCACAACCCUGCGGGGGUGAGUCUGACAAUGUCACUCCGGCUCGUUUGGAGGAGGGCAGGGCAGGAGCGCCCCGCCCCCAGCUUUGCUGUGAGGCUUGAGGCUCUAGUGUUCGUGCAGCCCACCACUCGGCACUUGGCCCCGUGGGGGCUGUCCCAGACCUGGGUCCUCCAGUCAUAGGAUUACUUACAGACCCUCAAGGUGGAAGGGAGGUUAAAGAAUGCACCCCUCCGCCUGUGACUGAUUCUGCUGGGCAGUGCCAAACUCAGCUUGAUCUCCUCUGAUGACAGGACGCUCACUCCCUACCCUUCAGGGCAGCUCAUUCUGUCCUCGGCAGGUCUGUUGGCAGGUCUGAUAUGGAGCCCAGCUUUAUAUCCUGGGGAUCUCUUCCUAUGGGUUCCAGUCCUUUCUCUCAGGACUGCACGGAGCACAGGGCGCAUCUAAUCCUAGUACAAGGGACAGCCGUCCGGGUCUGGUCUCUGAUCCCUCCAGCCAUCUUCCAUCGAGAUACUCCACGCCCCCCACUCUUCUUACCUCCCACCUCUCACCCUCCUUGUUUGUCCAGAUCCUUCUUCCAUGCAGGGCUGAGCCUGAGACUCUGGGUGCAGAAUGCAGAGAAGAUCCAGGGGCCUCUGGCAGCCUCCUUAAUAUGGGGUGGGCUUACCUGAUGCCAUGAUUUUGUGAGUGUUCUCUCUCUCUUUCUUUUGCUCUCUCACCCUUUCCUUUCUCUGGGCAUUCUAAAAGAAAGGCACAGCUGUCUGAGGCCCAGAGAUGGGGCUUCUAGGCCACCUUCUUUCUUAGCCAGAGGAGGGUCAGGCUGAGCCAGCCAUGUGCCCAGAGGGGACUUGGAAAACCAUGGGGAUUUUUAACUGAAAGCACAUUUUCUUCGGCUCAUCUUUAAAUGACAGAAAAUAAAACAAGCUCACUGUAAAAAUGAGAAGUAAUUCAGAUGUGUACGGAGUAAAAAGCAAAGCCCUUUUUCAUGGCUCCCCCUCCCAGAUCUUAACCUCUGUGGACAGACUGGUGAGUUUCCUUUAAGGCAUUUUUCUUUCCACGUGGAAAUAAAUCUUUUUCCUUCCCUAAGGGAACACUACACAUGGUGACUAUUCAUUUAUCAGGGUCAGGUUUCCACAUAUAGUGCAGCCUCAGUCUUAGUUUUUAAGUGAAUUUUUUUUUUUUCUUUUUAGGGCUGCACCCGUGGCAUAUGGAGGUUCCCAGGCUAGAGGUCCAAUCGGAGUUACAGCUGCUGGCCUACACCCUGGCCACAGCCAUGCAGGAUCCGAGGUGGGUCUGUGACCUACACCACAGCUCACGGCAACGCCAGAUCCUUAACCCACUGAGCGAGGCCAGGGAUCGAACCUGCGUCUUCAUGGAUAACUAGUCGGAUUCGUUUCCGCUGCGCCAUGAUGGGAACUCCCUUAAAAUGAAAUUUGAAAAACAAAUUUAUUAACAGUUCCUAGAACAACGCCGUGUGGCAGCCCUGUAAACAGCAUAAAGAGUUUACCGGGAAGAACAGAGAGUUAUUUUCCAUCGCACCUCCCACACUGACCCCUGCUCUGAGUUCUCUGUGUCCCCAAACACACAGGGGAGGGCAGGUCACACGUCACACCGCACUUGGGGCACAAGGUGUAGGCGGGCCACGCUUUGUCACCAGCCUGCUGAUGUCACUUAGGUUAUCUUUAUUUUUUUUUCUUUUUAGGGCCACAUUUCCGGCAUAUGGAAGUUCCCGGGCUAGGGGUCCCGUCGGAGCUGGAGACGCUGGCCUGUGCCACAGCCACAGCCACGCGGGAUCCAAGCUGCAUCUGUGACCUACACCACAGCUCACAGCAACUUCAGAUCCUUAACCCACUGAACAAGGCCAGAGAUCGAACGCGCAUCCCCAGGGAUAUUAGUUGGGUUCUUCUUAGCCUGCUGAGCCACAACAGGAACUGCUUCAUCUAAGUUAUCUUUAGCUUUUCACUUUUUUUUUUCUUUUUUGGCUGCCCUGUGGCAUGGUGGUGUUUCCGGGCCAGGCAUUAGAUCCAAGCCGCAGUUGUGACCUAAACCACAGCUGCAGCAACACUGGAUCCCUAACCCACUGAGCCCGGCUGGGCAUGGAACUUGAGUCCCAGCGCUGCAGAGACGCCACUGACCCAUUGCCCCACAGUGAGAACUCCAUAGCUUUUCACUUUUAAACCAGGCUGCAGUGACCCCUUUGCACUGAUAUCCUUAGGCCCACGUAGGAAAGCUUCCCAAGGGUGGCCUGGCCGGGUCACAGGAGCACGUGGUCACAGUCAAGGUGCCGGCAGAACCCAGGCCCUGAUUCCUGGGAGGUGGCCAGGGACAGUAUAACACAGGAGGGGAGAGGGCAGCAGGCCAGGAGCCAGGAGGCCUGGGUUCUGAGCCUGUCACUUCCCCUCUCUGGGCCUGUUUCUUCCCCCUCAAAUGGACGGACUGGCCCAGAGGGCCCUGGUGGCCUUUCCAGGCUUCCGACAGCCACCAGCCCAUAAAACCGGGUGAGGGCUUGUCCCCCGCGCCCCACAGCUCUUCCCCGCCGUCUGGAAUGGCACUCUCUGCUCUGAUGACCCUGAAAGUCUGUUUUACUCUUCAGAUGUUUGGGAGAUGGUUCCGUUUCUAUUCUAGGACCUGUCCGGGUGGAGCUGGCCUGUCCGUUGCCGCAUCAGAGGGAAGGUGGCACUGGGAUGGGAGGGGACGCCUGGGUGAGAGUCCCAGGCUUACAAAGGACCUUCCUCUCAGCCUCUCUCUGUGACUUGUCAGGACAAGGCUUGUCAUGUGACUUCAGGAAGGACUUGUGUCAUUUCGGACCCAAUUAAGAAACAGACACACUCUAGGUAUUUCAGGGAGAAGAACCUAGAACAGGGAGCUGGUUACACAGGCUGUGUGUGGGAGAGCCAAGAGGCCAGAGGGGGCGUGAUGAGUCAACCCAGAGAUGGCCCACUGUGGGAAAGUGCCACCACCUGGGGGCGGGGGCACAGGGGAGGUGGUGGAUCCCAGGCUGGCUGGUGCCAGCUGGAACCUUCCUGGGUGGGGCACAGAGGACAUGCAACUGCAGCCAGUGACCCCACCUGAGGCAGAAUGUUCUCUCUUCACGCCCCGCUCCUCAGUUUUCCUUGGUGCCUCCGUGGGGGCAAACUCAGCUGGAAACAGGCUGGCAAUGGAGCCUGGGCAAUGCAGCCCUCAGGCUUCAGCCCCUGCAACCCAGGCAGGAAUGUAUGUGAGGUUGGGGGCCCAGGACUGGCCCGUGACUAUUUGUGCUUAAAUGCUCUGGGUGUUGGGGAGCUCACCCUCUAACUCUAGAGGUGGCCAUCACAGUCCAUUUCACUGCCUGCUGAGUAUGAGUGUUGGCUCAGAGUAAGGAAGAAAAGUUUGUCACUCCCACCCUGGAGACGAGGGUUUGUCUUGGAGCAGGAGUGGUUUGUGUAAGUCAGUUGCCUCACGCCUGCUGGCUUUUCUCAUACUGUCAGAGCUGCCAGGAAAGCUCUUCCCACCCUCCGGUGCUCAGCUGACUUUCACCCAGCUGGUGAGAUUCAGCUCUUCCAGGAAGCUGCCCAGCACCCACAUGCUGGGGGAUGGUGGCCUUGUGCCUGUCCGGGGCACCUUGCGCCUCCUUCUCUGUUGAGCCCUCAUGGCAUCACAUCAUAGGUGCAUUUUCCUGUUUGUCCACCCGAUCCAUCCCGGGCCCAGAGCUCGAGGGACUCAACUUUGGACCCCCCCGCCUCCACUGCUAACCUACUAAACGCUUCGUAUCCAGAAGAGUACUUUCUAGUUGGCAUAGCACUUGUUCACGCAUCAGCUCAGUGGAUCUUCCCAGCGAACCUGGAACCUGGGCCCAUUGGCUAGGAGGCUCAGAGAUGCCAAGGAGUGACAAUAACCAUGACUUGCUGCCCUUGACCGAGCACUUUUAAGCCUCACUAAAGGCACAGUGGGAUGUUGAACCACCCGAGCAAGCAUCUCCUUUAAUCUUCUGCAGCGUUAUGAAGUAGAAUUGACUAUCGUUCCUAUUUUAGAAGCAGAGCUACAGAAGCCCGAAAAGGAUAAUGGACUUGCCCGAGGUCACACAGCAGCAAAUUUAGACCUAGAACCCACUUCUUGAAUCCUGGUGCAGUGUUCUGACCAGCUCUCGGAAACUGAAAAAAAAAAAAAAAA